rnacentral:rRNA from 1 species
CACGUAGGGCGCAAGCGUUGUCCGGAAUUAUUGGGCGUAAAGAGCUCGUAGGUGGUUUGUUACGUCUGCUGUGAAAACCUAGGGCUUAACCCUGGGCCUGCAGUGGAUACGGGCAGACUAGAGGUAGGUAGGGGAGAAUGGAAUUCCCGGUGUAGCGGUGAAAUGCGCAGAUAUCGGGAGGAACACCGGUGGCGAAGGCGGUUCUCUGGGCCUUACCUGACACUGAGGAGCGAAAGCGUGGGGAGCGAACAGG